rnacentral:rRNA from 1 species
UAGCCGCAGAAUUCUGUGCUAAGGUAGCAUAAUCAUUUGUCUUUUAAUUAAAGACUAGAAUGAAAGGUUAAACGAAUAAAAAUUUCUAUAAAUAUAAUACAUUUAAAUUAAAUUUUUUGUAAAAAUACAAUAAUAAAUAAAAAAGACGACAAGACCCUAUCGAACUUAACUAAUGUUAUACUGGGGCAGUAUUCUAAUAAAAACUUAAAAACAUAAAUUAAUAAAUUUCCCUUUAAAAAGAAUCAAAAGUUACCGUAGGGAUAACAGCGCAAUUUAUUUUUAAAGUCCUUAUCAAAAAAUAAGAUUACGACCUCGAUGUUGAAUUAAUUUAUCAAGUAAAAGCAAAAUUUUACAAGAAAGUCUGUUCGACUUUUAAAUAAUUACAUGAUCUG